AAAACUGAGGUGGUAUACGAUGGUUCCGCGUCUGAUUAGCUAGUUGGUGGGGUAAUGGCCUACCAAGGCAACGAUCAGUAGCCGGCCUGAGAGGGUGAACGGCCACAUUGGGACUGAGACACGGCCCAAACUCCUACGGGAGGCAGCAGUGGGGAAUAUUGCACAAUGGGGGAAACCCUGAUGCAGCGACGCCGCGUGAGUGAAGAAGUAUUUCGGUAUGUAAAGCUCUAUCAGCAGGGAAGAAAAACCGACCAUAGGGUCGCUAGACGGUACCUGAUUAAGAAGCCCCGGCUAACUACGUGCCAGCAGCCGCGGUAAUACGUAGGGGGCAAGCGUUAUCCGGAUUUACUGGGUGUAAAGGGAGCGUAGACGGCAGCGCAAGUCUGAAGUGAAAUGCCGGGGCUUAACCCCGGAACUGCUUUGGAAACUGAGCAGCUAGAGUGCAGGAGAGGUAAGUGGAAUUCCUAGUGUAGCGGUGAAAUGCGUAGAUAUUAGGAGGAACACCAGUGGCGAAGGCGGCUUACUGGACUGUAACUGACGUUGAGGCUCGAAAGCGUGGGGAGCAAACAGGAUUAGAUACCCUGGUAGUCCACGCGGUAAACGAUGAUUACUAGGUGUUGGGGGACCAAGGUCCCUCG
rnacentral:rRNA from 1 species